UAAUCCGGGUUGCGGACAGUGUCUGGUGGGUAGUUUGACUGGGGCGGUCUCCUCCUAAAGAGUAACGGAGGAGCACGAAGGUUGGCUAAUCCUGGUCGGACAUCAGGAGGUUAGUGCAAUGGCAUAAGCCAGCUUGACUGCGAGCGUGACGGCGCGAGCAGGUGCGAAAGCAGGUCAUAGUGAUCCGGUGGUUCUGAAUGGAAGGGCCAUCGCUCAACGGAUAAAAGGUACUCCGGGGAUAACAGGCUGAUACCGCCCAAGAGUUCAUAUCGACGGCGGUGUUUGGCACCUCGAUGUCGGCUCAUCACAUCCUGGGGCUGAAGUAGGUCCCAAGGGUAUGGCUGUUCGCCAUUUAAAGUGGUACGCGAGCUGGGUUUAGAACGUCGUGAGACAGUUCGGUCCCUAUCUGCCGUGGGCGCUGGAGAACUGAGGGGGGCUGCUCCUAGUACGAGAGGACCGGAGUGGACGCAUCACUGGUGUUCGGGUUGUCAUGCCAAUGGCACUGCCCGGUAGCUAAAUGCGGAAGAGAUAAGUGCUGAAAGCAUCUAAGCACGAAACUUGCCCCGAGAUGAGUUCUCCCUGAGACUUAGAGUCUCCUGAAGGAACGUUGAAGACGACGACGUUGAUAGGCCGGGUGUGUAAGCGCAGCGAUGCGUUGAGCUAACCGGUACUAAUGAACCGUGAGGCUUAACCUUACAACGCCGAAG
rnacentral:rRNA from 2 species